UUCUGACCGUAAACGAUACCAUCUAGCGAUCCGGUGGUGGUUUUACCGCCUUGCCGGGGAGCUUCCCGGAAACGAAAGACUUCCGGUUCCGGGGGUAGUAUGGUUGCAAAGCUGAAACUUAAAGGAAUUGACGGAAUCGCACCACCAGGAGUGGAGCCUGCGGCUUAAUUUGACUCAACACGGGAAAACUCACCCGGCCCGGACACUGUAAGGAUUGACAGACUGAGAGCUCUUUCUUGAUUCGGUGGUUGGUGGUGCAUGGCCGUUCUUAGUUGGUGGAGCGAUUUGUCUGGUUUAUUCCGAUAACGAGCGAGACGCACCCCUACUUAAUACACCGUGAAUAAUUUCGUUCACAGGUGUUCUUAGAGGAAUUGGCGGUAUCGAGCCGCACGAAAGUGCGCAAUAACAGGUCUGUGAUGCCCUUAGAUGUUCGGGGCUGCACGCGUGCUACACUGGAGUCUGCAACGUGUUCCAUGGCCGAAGGGUCACUGGCAAACCGUUGAAAAGAUUCCGUGAUCGGGAUAGGGAAUUGCAAUUAUUUCCCUUGAACGAGGAAUUCCUAGUAAGUGUGAGUCAUCAUCUCGCUCUU
rnacentral:rRNA from 1 species